rnacentral:lncRNA from 1 species
CUGAAGUUGGGAGCUGGGGCCAGGGCCCUGGGCCCAGCAUUGCCAGCCUUGGCUCAGAUGGGCGUCUUUGUCUUCUUGACCCCCGGGAUCUCUGCCAUCCUGUGAGCUCAGUCCAGUGCCCAGUAUCCGUACCUAGCCCUGACCCAGAGCUGCUGCGAGUGACUUGGGCCCCAGGCCUGAAGAAUUGCUUGGCCAUCUCAGGUACUGCCGAGCAGGAUUUCGUCUUGUUAUCUGAUCUCUUUCUUCCAGGAGACUGUUGGGUGCUCAGGAAGGAGCCUCCAGCACCAUGAUAAACCUGGCUCCAGGAGUUAAAGUUGCUCACAGAGAAAUUCGAACUCUCCAGGUUCUUCAGUGGCAGGCCUUUUCCUACCCUGGCUACUAAACUUCCACACAUUGGCAGCAGGCCUUUCCUAGCCUAGCAGGAAUUCAGGUCUCAGGUUGGUGGAGGGGCCUGCAGACAGUAAGACACUGGGACAGACAUCGGGCUGGGUCAGAAAGAAAAGGGGACAGUGGCUAACACGGUGAAACCCCGUCCCUACUAAAAAUACAAAAAAUUAGCCAGGCAUGGUGGCAGGCGCCUGUAGUCCGGCUUAUAGGGCACUUUAGAUGGAAACAAAUGACUGGAUCUUUAACUCCUACCUUUCUCUCCUCUCUUCCUGUAAUGUUGUUACUGAAGGCAGGAAGGGAGACUCCUUGGCUAAAGAGCAGAGCAAGAGCCUCAAAGUGGUCUUUGUGAGCCACCCUGGACUACUGGUUCAGUAGAGGGUUGAGUCAAGCAAUAUUUGAGGACGGGAUAUAAACAGUAUUUCUUAAAGUUGUCACCAAUUUUUCCCCCGAUGAGGCCAUUCCAGACCCAAAUUAGUCAUAACAGAGCCAGGACAAUAAUCACAUCUCCUGAUUCUGAGCCUGAAUGCUUCCCACAGGACUGCGUCGCUCCCACUGCUCUGAGGUCCAUUGUGGGGGAGAGUUGCCACUGGGAUUCCACCUCAAGGCCUGGGGACCAAGCCUCCAGGAUUCCUCUUGAGACUCCUCCACUAUUUCAUUACCAUCCCGCCACAUCUUCUAGUGCUAUGCCCUGGUUCCCUUUGGAAUCCUCUCAAUCCCAAAGAAGGCCUCCUACCACCUCUAAGGCAUCAAAGGUGUUAGAAAGUGCCCCAAGACUCAACAGGGCAUCCAUCUCAUCAUAGAAGACACUGGUGCCUGGUGUGUAGGUGCUCCUGGCUUUGCAGUAGUCGGUCAGGAGGUUUUUGAACCGAUAGCAACAUUGCUCCAGGGUCCACAGGAAGCCAUGUUCUCAAGCCAUAAUCCGGAGGUGCGGAGUUUUUCGUGGAUCCAGGCCUCUGAGAAUUCCCAGAAAAAUCUUGGUUUCUUUGUAUCCCCAGUGCACUCCUGCCACCUUCUCAUCCUCCAGGGCCUGCCACUCCAGCUCGCUCCAGGUCUUGGCUUUUCUCCAGAUUAGCACCUGGCCAGACUUGACUCUCACCCCAGCCACUGAGCAGUCUUUCACACUCUCUUUUUCUCCAGAAUUUGAAGAUCUAGAUGCUGUGGGUUUUCAUCCUACUCCACGUGGGAGUUCACUUUGGGCCUAUGGAUUGGAAAAUCCAGCGUGACCUCAUUUUCAGAAUUCUGCUGAGUUAUUUCUAGGUGGUUCUUCAGUCCAGGUUCUGGAUCCCUCCAUGCCUCCUGGGAGCUGCUCACUAUCUCCUGGCCACCCCUGCUCUUCUCUGCAGGAAUUCCCAGAGCCACAUCAGGCAGGGCUUGGCAUCCCGUUCUUUAACGUAAUGUAAUACAUUUCACACGUCUUCCGUCUCCAUUUGGAUUAUCAACAUGACGUACAUAACCCGUUCCAUUGACCGGAUAACAAGCAGCCAUGGCUUUUGUCCGGCCCGGGGACGCGCGAGGCGGGGAC